rnacentral:rRNA from 1 species
AUGAGGUGCCACAAGGAACGAAGGAACAAGAAGGGGAAAGGUGUUGUGCCCGUCGUUCCGGAACGAAAGAGAGGUAUCAUUCUCAAGACGGAAUGCCCUGUCCGGUGUAAGCUAAACGUAGAUGGAGCAUAGUGGACGGUCACUGAAUAUUUUGACGAGCACAACCACAAACUCAUAAAGAAGUUCGACCUGGUAAAAUUUCUGACCGCCCACAGAGGAUUCACCCCCCUCGAGAAGAAAUUCAUAAAACUGCUACAUGAUUGUAACGUCGGUCCAUCAAGAAUGGUCCAGAUACUAUCACUCAUCCACGGCAAAAAAGGGACUUUGAGUAGCAUGCCCUACAUACCAGCUAACGUCACAAACCUAAAGGCAAAGUACCGUAGAGUGAGCAAGUUGGCUGACAUAGAGGACACAAUGGCCUACUUCGAUGAGAAAGCGAAGGAAGAUCCAGAUUUCUUCUACAGGAUAAGAUUGGACGAUGAGGACCGUGUCAGGAACAUGUAUUGGGUGGAUGGUGCUGCAAGAAGAGCCUACAAACAUUUCCGAGAUUGCAUUUCAUUCGACGCGACAUAUCUCACUAAUAUGUACAAGAUGCCAUGCGCUCCAUUCAUAGGAAUAGAUAACUACAACACGGAUGGGUACGUUUGCCUGUUCAAGAACUUCUUGGAGUGCAUGGAUGGACUUGCUCCGAUGAACAUAAUAACAGACCAAGAUUUUAGCAUGCGUGUAGGCAUAGAGGAGGUCUUUCCAUUGGCAGUGCACAGGCACUGCAGGUGGCACAUUAUAAAGAAGGCUGAGAAGACGCUAGGACCGUUCUUUGCUACUACGCAGCAUAGCGAGGGGUUCAAUACUGUUUUGAAGCGGUACCACGGCAUUGUGUACUGUCACAUACUAAAAGUAAUGGACAUGAACGCGGUGACACGGAUGCCCCACCAUUUCAUAAGGCGGCGAUGGACUUGGGACGCUUACGACGCGUUGGCGCCGCAGACAACAAACGCAGUUUUGGCUGUGCAUGACGAGAGACCGUGGAAGCCGUGA